rnacentral:lncRNA from 1 species
GAAAACGUCUAGCAAAGUUUGUGGCCAAUACUGUCUUGGAUUAUUAGUUAGUUUUCUAUUUGUUUUUCAGUAGAUGCAAGCAUAUUGUGAGAUGUUCUAUAUUUGUGAAACUUAUGACAAACUUUGAAGAUAACAUAAUGCAUUUCGGGUGAGCCAAUGCAGUAACACAAAUACUUCAUGAAAAUUCAGACCAAUACUUUGGGUUGUAUAUUUAUUCAUCGAUAAAUUUAAACAUAUUAUUGAAGAUGUGUUUCUCCUUUCCAUUUUUUAAUUUCCAUUUUUAGGUUGUGAGACAUGCCUCAGACUGAAAAUCAGCUAA